UUGAAUUAAAUCACAUUUCACAGUAAGUAAGUUAUGGAAUACACCAGAGAAAAAACACAAAAACUGGGCAUUAUUAACAUUUAUUAUAUUUUUGCUCACUUAAGCUGUUGGUGGUUUCAGCUUUUAUAACAAGUGGCAACAGGGACACUGGUUUAACCUGUGGAGUAGUUUUUUUAAUUAACUGUAUUAGCAUACUUCAGUAUGUAUGAAUAGAGAGUCGUGUCUGUGAACUCGAGAAUCCCUGAAGUCAGCUGGCACAUGGCUUACCACAUGCUCUAUAGUAAACAGAAUUCCCUUAUCACUCAAAGAAAGAUGAGAAUUUGGGGGGAAAUAUAUUGAUAGUAUCACUAUAACUCUUUUUUGUGAGAUUUUAAUAUUUCCAUGUAUUGAAUCAUCUUCAUCAAAGUGGGUUGCAGGGUUGUUCCCGGGAUAAAGGAUUUUAGUAAAAACAGCAAACAGUGCAAUGAUGAGAAAUCUGCAGGUUCUCUUUAAGCAUAAUGACUGGCGACAGUAAACCGUAGCCAUGAUAACUGCUCUGAUUUAGCUCAACACAUGCACAGACACGUCCAAAGGUAGUCACGGCAUAGGCUGCACUGCUUUAGGCCCUCAAAUGCUACAAACCUGCAAUCCUGCACCUGCCUCAGGCCCACAUGGUUUACCUCUGUAGUCUCACAGAAGAAGAAAAACUCUAAGAAAGGAGAAAUAAAGGGACACAAAGGAGGUGCAGGAGAGAGCUUGAUUAUGGAAUGAGAGGAACCUGCAUACCAGAAGGCCAGACAACAUAAAAUCUCCACUCCAAACACAUUCUCAGUGAGACUUUAUGAUCUCCAGAGGGAGCAAAACUAUGUUCUUUGCUGGGGGGAAAGUGCAUGCCAGCACCUGCACCUGUGUGCUAGCUGAGACCACAUAUCAAGGUAUAUGUCAGGAUAUUCUGGUUCAUAGGAACCUAAAGCUGCCUUGAUAUACCAUGAUAUGCCAUAUUGUUUCUCUGCUGAAAAGCCACUUUUGAAAUAUUUCUCACAUGUGUUUAUACUGAAAAACAGCCUUCAAGGCAUAAGCCAAGCCAUUUUUUUCCUAUUGGCAUCUCGUAUGGGAUCCCAUCAUAUUAAAGGAAGUGGAACACUUACAACAGAAAGAAUUGAGUAGACAAACAGCAUGGAUAUAAAAUUGCUUAUGUGUGCAACUGAAAUGAGAGCUAUUUCCUUCUACCUCUGCAUGGGCCCCAGGAGGAGGAAAGGGGAGAGCCAGUGGUCAACAGAGGUCUCACUUUCUAGGAGCAGCUGAAUACCAGAAGAGCUGACAGGUAUGUACAUAUUGGAAUGUGUUUCUCAGCCACACCUGUGGGAAACACACCCACCAAGUUUAGUCUCUCUCAUCCCACUGGCUGAUCUCCACCGUGAUUGACAACUGGAAGAACUAUUUGGCUCUGGUCCUCAGGAGCCAGGGGGCAGGUAUGGUAAGUUCUGAAAACGAACCAAUGGCAGCCUAGAAAUCCUCCAAGCCAGGCGGGGCUGUGGUGAAAUAAAACUCAUCAGUGGGGUGUGUCCUCAAAAGUUUGUCAGCAGUCAAACAGUGAAGGGCCACUGCUACAGGACCCCACUUUGACUGGUUAAGACUUAACAAGUCCUUCGCUGAGUAAGGAUCUGAGAAGCCGGCAGACAAAGUAAAGAAAGACAGAGAGGGACUUUUUUUCCUCGGCAGACUGACUUCCUCCACGGCUCAACAAUGGGAGUGAAACAUCAGAAAUCUUCUGCUCCAAAUCUCGAGAACACCACCUUCAGGGUCGGGCUUUUGAGGCAAUGGAUGCCAGGUUCAUGCGGUUCAUUUUCGGCAACUUGAAAACUACACAAAGUUUCAACACUUUCUGGAGUCAUUUUUGUCCUGAGAAAUAGCCCAGCUAUAGAUUCUGUAUCCGUUGGACGGAGAACUGAUAAGGGCAUGUGCAUGACAUUACCUACAGAUACUGAAGAGGUAACAUCUGAGCCACAGAGCCUGUGGGGUAAUUCAGUCAUUGAGUUUAUUGCUGGUGAAACAUGCUGAAGGCUAGUUUCUGUGCUUUCUGAUUUAUGUUUGCGUUUUAAACAUGUUGAGAGUUGUUAGAAUGGAUAGAGUUUCACGUUUUAAAAUGUGGUAUUAAAACAAGGCAUGGGGUUUGUGCGAAUGUAUAACCAUCUACAAUAACACUUAUUUAACCUUGCAAAUUUGUGAUCCGUCUAUAGUGACUUAAAAAAAAAGACUUAGUGCCAGUUUGGGGCUAUGCUGUAAGACUUAACACAAGAACAGCUGAGUUACAAUACUGAAAGCUUGGUUUCCUCGAAACAAAGUUUAGAAAGCAACAGGGUCUCAGCCUGACAUGACACAGCAUGACUAGCAUAAUCCAUUGACUGUACAUGGAGAAUGACAUAACUGCUGAAUGUGGAAAAAAAAAAACUAGGUGAGUAACUUGAAUGUGAUGCGUGCCAGCGUACUGACAUGACUUUCACACCCACAGACACUUUUACAAUUUAAUUACAGCUGAGUGGGCCUGACGUAAGGAUCACACUGCAUAAGAACUAUAGGAGAACGAAGUGUGGGUUUUAAAGGUGUUGAUACAGAAAAAAAACGUAUGCGAUGACUUACUGUUCGCAAACUCAAAUAUUCAGGAUGGUCAAAGAAGUUUCAUGCACAUUCUAGUACUAAUCAAAAAUCUCAUGACUUUUACUUUUAAAAAGCAGUUUGAAUUGAUCGUUUCAAAUGACAGAUCCCUCCAAACACCUGAGAAUUUUCAGCUUCUUUUCCUCGUCUUUUAACUCUUAAAAUCUAUGAUUGAGAGAGCCUUUUAUAUUAGAAUGGGGUCUUAUUUGCUGUUUUCAUCAUUGUCAAAUGUGCUGAUAAAUGGCUGUGCAAUUCUAGGUUUGUAUGACUGCAAGCUUCAAAUAUUGCAGAUAUUUUACAGCCAUAACUUCGCAUAAAUAAAAAAAACAAAAGUAUAAAUACAUUGAAAGUGUUGAGUCAUUGCAUGUGUUGACACUUGUCGCCAGAUUUAUUGCCAAAAGAUUGUAACAGCUGGUGGUUUCUUGCUUUACACUUAUUUGUUACCUUCAGUCUUUAAGUUAACUGUCAACUUAGAGAACAAAAAGUACACAACAUCACAAUUUUCUUGUAAAUGCACGCAAGCGCACGAACACACACACAUACACACAGGAGGGCUCACAGUGAGUUGACAAGUGUUUUGGAUUUACAGUACUGGGUGUAUCCAGACUGCUUUCUGCCCCUCAGGCAUCUACUCUCUCUACACCUCUGUCCUGUCAAGCACAACAAUCUUCCCACGGCUGCUAGCGCUUAAGGUCACUUCCUUUGCUUCAGCCCUGCUUCAACACAUUCUACCUCUCGGUUUACAUAUUAACCCAAUACAAAAUCAACUACACCAACAAAAUAAAAAA